CUCCACCUUCAGGGAUUAUUCUCAGCUGCAGACGUGAACCUGUGCUUCUCCUGCUGCUGUGCAGUAAUACGUGAAGUGAUGUUAGUGACAAACCACUGAAUGUUGAUGUUUUCAGACUUGAACCGAUGAAUCAGCAUCUUCACACGUUAACAUGAAUUCAGCUGGUGGAAGCUCUGCAGCCAAUCACAGCCAGGACAGGGACGAG